GCUGGCGUAGCUCAGUUGGUAGAGCACUUCACUCGUAAUGAAGGGGUCGGCGGUUCGAUUCCGCCCGCCAGCU
rnacentral:tRNA from 1 species